rnacentral:tRNA from 1 species
GGAUAAGUAGCUCAGUAGGUAGAGCGUUGGAUUGAAGCUCCAAAGGUCAAAGGUUCGAGCCCUUUCUUUUCCA